GAGGUUCCUGUAGGGGCAUGAGGAGGGCUGGACCACGGGAGAAAGCUGGUUUGCUUCUAUUGGUCAGUGGAGCUACCCAAAGAUGGGGCAAACCCCUCUGGGAUAGACAGAUUAUCAUCUUGUAUACAAAGAGAAUUAAUUAGGUUCACAAAAUAACCCUAUCAAUCACCAAGGCCCUUGCAAUUCUAGAAUUCUGGUGCCAGGCUCCUACUUCUAAAGGAAUUAUUCCUCAAAUGGUCUUUAGAUGAGCGAGCUACAUUCAACCUCUGCCCUGCAUCCCAACUACCAUCUUGAUUCUUAGCUAAUUUUUACUUGCAAACAGCAGAAGCAAUGGGCCAACUCACUGAAAAGACGAGAAUAAAGUGAGGAUUUUUUUUAGACCAUAAUACCCUUUGUCUUCCUAGAAGUAAUCCCUGGAGCCUGCCUGCCCUGUGUCCAGCACUAAUGUAUGAGCUUGUGAUAUUUCUUUCUUGAAGCUAGUCAUAUUAGCAGUGGGGCUUGUGAUACUUCUGGUUUCCUGAUCUCUCUCCUCUUCAAAUAAAUGCAAGAUAUCUA
rnacentral:antisense_RNA from 1 species